GAACCUUUGUCUUCUUAUUUUUACUUUUAUUUUUCUUAUGAUAUAUGGCUGAAACCACAUCUGCGUGGUACGAUCCUGUUAGCGGGACUGGAUGUUUUCUACGGUGAAUUAUAAACUAAUUCUUCUGGGUGGAGCUUUUGUGGUGUUUGUUUGAGUUACUUUUAUCUUUUCAUAGAGGGAACUACUCAUAUCUUUCUGUUCAGCAACUGGGCAGAAGCCACAACGUAUCAUAUUUUACUGGGAUGGGGUGAGUGAAGGGCCGUUUUAUCAAGUUUUGCUGUAUGAACUUGAUGAUAUCCAAAAGUCUUAGGCUUGUGCCUCUU